rnacentral:lncRNA from 1 species
AUGGGAGUUUCGGUGAGUUCGUGCUUCCCCCUGAGGGACAGGAAUCCUUGCCGUGUCCAGCGGGGGUCCCUCCCCAGCCGUGCGGUCACUCCCCGGCCCGGCCCUGAGGCGCGGGGCAGUCGCGGGGCAGCCGCGCUCCGGCCCCGUCAGCGGCACCGCCGCUUCGUGCCGGGCAGGAGCGGCAGAAGGAGCCGGGCGGCGGCGGGGGCUGAAUCCCGGCAGGAGGAGGAGGAAGAAGAAGAAGAGGAAGAAGGGGCCGGGGCCGCCUGCGGUGUCCGAUGGCCGGGGAGCCGGAGAGGCCGGAGAGGCCGGAGAGGCCUCGGGGAGCGGCGGCGGGCGGGGCUCUGCUGGAGCCGCCCCGAGGGGUUUGUGCCGCCCCGGGUCCCUGAAGGAGCCGCUCCGCGGGACGGGCGAGCUGGGAACGAAAGGAAAUACAGAGAAGAGAAUAAAAUACAAUCAAAGAGCCGCACCGAGAGGCGUCUCCCCCGCCCGCGUCUGAAGGAGCUGCACCGAGGGACAGGAUUUGUCAUUCCAAAGCUAUGGCCAGAUGGAGAAGGAGGCUGCAAGAAAGAGGAAGAUGUCCCGGGACCACCAGGCAGGUGGGGAGGAAGUCAGUGCCCCUUUCCCCCUCUCUCCUGCUCCAUCUCCCAGCCCAGCAUCGCCCCCGGCUGCAGGACAACCCCGCUGCCGAUGCCGUCCUGCCGGGGACGGACUGGGGGGAUCUCCUUCCCCUUCCCUGUGGCAUGGAGGCAAAUCCCAUCCUCUCUUUCUCCACUCUCCUUCCUCUCCUCGUUCUGUCCUUCUUCCUUCCACUUUCCUUCCUCCUCUCCUUCCUCCCUGGUUUCUUCUUCUUGUUCCUUCCUCUCCUUCUACCUUUUCCUCUUCCCUUCUCCCUGUCCCUUCCUCUCCUUCUCCUUCCUGCCCCAGGCACUGAGCUGCAGAUGGAGACCAGGGGGAACAAAUCCCUGCGGCAGAACCUCGUGGAAGAGGCCGCUUUGAGCAGCUCCUCAGUGCAGGAAUCCAGCGGGGAGGAAAAACUGAAGAGAUCCACGAGGAGUGGCUGCAAACCCAGCCCAGGGAGCUGCGAGGAGAAAAGACCCCCCAUGAGACAGCCGGAGAUCCAGCCACAGCUCAGAGCUGAUGGAGAAGCCUCAGGGUGGAGAGAAGCCCCACAAGUGCUUGGAAUGUGGAAGAGAUUUGGAAAUCCAUGGGGAUGCAGAGAUACCCCGCAGCCCCUGGAGGAGCCCCCACCGGAGCAGGGGAUGCCUGAGGAGAGGCUGUGAGCCCGUGGGAGACCCGUGGACAGAGGGGCCCUGCUGGAGCAGCCUGUCCUUGCAGGACUGACCCCGGGGCAGAGUGACCCCCGGGGCUGCAGCAGUGUGAGGGGACUGCUGCCCGUGGGACGGACUCAGGCUGGAGAAGUUCCUGGAGAACUGUCUGGUGGGAGGGAGCCCAGAGUGCAGCAGGGGAACGACUCCUGUCCCUGAGCAGCGGGAGGAGGCACCGGGGAUGAACUGAGCAUGGCCCCCAUUCCCUGUGUCCUGCACUGCCGGGGUGGGAGGUGGAGCUGGAAGGAGGGAGGGGUGGGAGGAAGAAGUUUGGAAGGGUCUUCUUUUACUUCGCAUUACCCUGCUCUGAGUUUUUGGAGUUUUCUGCCACAAAUCUCUCCCCUCGUGCACUCAGCCAAAGGGGUUUGGGGCGGUUUUCCCUUUCUCGGGGAAAUCAACGCCAUGCACUGAUGCUCCGAAUUAGGGGCGGGAGUAGCGAGGCUGCAGGGCUUCCCAAGGAGCCGGAGGCACCCGACACGCAGGGCUGGGCAGGUCGGGCCGGGAGCAGCGGAGAGCU